GUGGUCCAUCUCAAAUAAAUACUUAAAGCAUGCUUCCAGACAGAAUAUUAGUAUACAGAAUACAGAAUUUAAAUAACUUAAUAAUCCUAUGGAAAAAUUUAUUAAUAAUACUGUGUUGGGAUAGGCAGGGGAAAAAUGAACCAAACCACUUCCCUUCAUUUCCACUCCAUUUCACAAAGGCCACAGCUCAAGCAUAGAAAUACAACAUAAUAAUCAGCUAUUCAACUAAAAAUCCAUUGAUAAAAUAAUAGCAAGAAAGUCAUAGUAGGGUGAGGGGUGGGAAGGUACUUACUACUUCCAGACUGGUGGGAGCUUCUUAGUCUUCUUGUAAUAGCGAGCAAGUCGGUGGAUUCUGCUCUCAACAAGAAUCAACCUGAACUUGGAGUCCUUGUCCUUCCUGUUCCUCUCAAGAUGCUUCCUAAUUGAAACUGCCUUCUUAAUCAAAUGGUACAGGUCCUCUGGAAUUUCAGGCGCAAGUCCUGAAACCAACCACCAAAACAUUUCUUCAUUAUUAUUGUCACCUAUGUUUUUUUUGCUGAAAAGCAAGGUAUCCGUAGCCAAAAAUCAUUAUAAAUAUACACACACUGUCUCGUCCAUCUCAAUUUUUUACACGGCUCUCUACUUUUCCCAUUCGCAUAUUUUACAACUAUCCAAUAUCCAUUAACAUUAUACUUAUCAUUAUUACCUAAAAUAACAGAAAAUUGUAACCGAAAUUGCAGAGAGAAAGCACAAACCGUGAGCUUUGAGGAUGCGAAGGAUUUUGCUGCCAGUGACGCUAUUGACCUGAGCAAUACCGUGAGAAUCUCUGAGAAUGACACCAAUCUGAGACGGGGUCAAACCUUUCUUCGCAAACUUGCAGAUAUUUUCUUCGACCUAGAACAAAAAAUUAAGGAUAAAAACAUCACAUUAUAUCAUUAACAAUGCGAAAAAACCGUGAAACGAGAGAAAAUUACAUCUUGCGAAGAGAUCUUGAGCCAGCUAGGAGGUGUCCUUUUGUAGGGCAAAGCAGAAGAGGAUAUACCCUUACUGUAACCAAAGGAAAAAAAAUCAAAUGUUAGUUUUGAAAAAUAGGAAAGAAGAGAAUGAAUUCGAUGACAGAGAUUGAAAGAAUGAAUACAAACCCGCGGCUGUGCAUACGACCCAUGGCUGGUGGCUGUCACUCGCUUGAAGCUGCGCUUCUUCUGAUUAGGGUUGCGACUGCGACGCUCUUCUGCACACUCCACCACUCUAAAACCCUAGAUUAUGCAGUUUAUGUGUAUUAUAUAAGGAUAAAAAGUGUCAAGCCCAAUAGCUUUGGUAGUUUUUGAAACUGUAUUUUACAUAACCAACUUGGCCCGUUGGGCUGGCCGAAUUGGCCCUGGGCAACUGCUUGGGACUCUUAACAUUUUUGUUGGGAUGCUCAACAGUUUUUUAAAAUGUAAAAGAUAUUCCUAUGCAGGUUUAGUUUUUCAUUUUUACAAUGCCUUUUUUUUUUUACAAAAUCUCACACUCUUAUAAGCGUUUUUUGUCUUCGGUGGUAUACGUUGUUCAGGGGAUAUAGUGAAAUUGGAUGGUUAUUCGUUGUCGGAUAAUAAGAGUACGUAAAAAAAAUUUAGAAACAUACAGAUUAUCAAUUUGUAUGUUUCUAUUUUUUAAAAUAAAUAAAUAAAUAAAUCUGCAUGGUGGUUAAUAAUUAAAUUUUAAAUUUUAAAUUUUGGUUUCAAUAUUUUUUAUAACUAUCAAAUUUAAUAUUUUUUAAAAUUUUAUUUCAAUCGUUAUUUAAAGUAACAAUCUUAUCAUAUUUUAAGUUUUAAAUUUUGGUUUCAAUAUUUCUUAUAACUACCAAAUUAAAUAUAUAUUUAAAUUUGAUUUCAAUCAUUAUCUUAAACUAACAAUUUUAUCAUAUUUUAAAUUUUGAUUUCCAUAUUUUUUAUAACUAACAAAUUUAAUAUAUUUUUAAAUUUGAUUUCAAUCAUUAUCUUAAACUAACAAUCUUAUCAUAUUUUUAAUUUUAAAUUUUGGUUUCAUUAUUUUUUAUAACUACCAAGUUUAAUAUAUUUUUAAAUUUGAUUUCAAUCAUUAUCUUAAACUAACAAUCUUAUCAUAUUUUAAAUUUUGGUUUCAAUACUUUUUAUUACUACCAAAUUUAAUAUAUUUUUAAAUUUGGUUUCCAUCAUUAUCUUAAACUAACAAUCUUAUCAUAUUUUAAAUUUUAAAUUUUUGUUUCAAUAUUUUUUAUAACUACCAACUUAAAUAUAUUUUUAAAUUUGAUUUCAAUCAUUAUCUUAAACUAACAAUCUUAUUAUAUUUUAAAUUUUAAAUGUUUGUUUCAUAAUUUUUUAUAACUAACAGAUUUAUUGUACAACUAAAAAUUAUGUUUCAAUAUUUUUAUAAAAAAGUUUAAUUAUUUAAAAUUAUCGUUUAAAUAUCUUUUUUAACUAACAAAUUUAAAUUAUUUUUAAUUAUAAUUUCAAUAUUUUUCAUAAGUAACAAAUUCAAUAUAUUUUAAAUAUUUGUUUCUAUUUUUUUAAGUUAAAAAAAUAUAAUAUAAAAAUAUUGAAAAUUAAUUGUUUCACCAAUCUAAUCUUAAUUUUAGCAAUAUAAUCUUAGUUUUAGCAAUCUAAUCUAAUAUAAUCUUAGUAAUAACUAAUAUAUUUUUUUAUAAAUAAAAUCAAUACUUAACACAUAAAUCAGAAAAAAAAUUAUCAAAUUUCACUAACAUUACAAAAUAACAUUACACUACAAAAAAAUUAAAUAAUAAUUGACAAAUAUAUAUUUACAAUGUAAACAAAAAUUUCAAAAAAAAGACAAAUUUAGAAGAAAAAAAUUGAAAAAAAAAAUAUUCAACAAAAAAAAUCAUACGGAUCAACAAUCCGUAUAGGUGGUACGAAUUGGCAAUUCGUAUGAACCAUACGGAGAAAAAUACCAUUUUUGUUUGCAACAUUGCUUCAAACAACAUCAAACCAAUGUCAACAACAUCCUGCACCCACAAAGGAAGAAGAAGCACCAACAGAGUAAAACGACACAGGGGAAAGGAAGAAGAAGAACCACAACCGCGCAAGAAGUAGAGGAAGAAGAAGAACCGUAAUGAGGAAAAAACCACGAACUACCAGGAGAAUGAAGGAGAUCACGACGUGCGUGAAGGAGAAUGAAGGAGACCACCACAAGAAGGAAGAAGCACAACACGAAAGAAGAAUAAGCACUCCGGCGGAAUCGUACGGGCGCGCAUUGUAUUCGUAUUUAUAUUAAUAAGGUGAAGGGCAUUUUAGCCCUUUCACCUAAGGUGCUAGGUGUCCCACCAAAAUUAUUGGGUGUCCAAAGUAACACCCCUUGGCUCUAUUAUUUCUUGACCUCAGAUUAAAAAAGUCAACCUAACUCAUUGAUUAUCUCAAUUUAAUUCAAUAUAAAAUUUAUGCUAAGGAUAGGUAUCCAACGGGUUUAGAUGGUUCAAGCAAAAAAAAAAAUCCAACCCGUGGAAAUCAACGGGUUUAGAUGGAAAUCCUAGCAUAAAAUUUUUGCUUGAACCAUCUAAACCCGUGGAAAUCCAACCCGACCAUUUAAGACCAUCUAAAACCAAAAUUCAUAAUUCAUCAACCCAUUUUAUUGACUAGAAUUACAUGUUAGUUUAUUUAUCUUUCUCGGGUAUGAGUUCAAGUGGAUCCUGAUUUGUGUCCACCCCUAAUUUAUGCAUAACAAUAUGUAUAAAUUCAUAAGUAAAUUUAAUGAUGAAAUAAUUAAUCAUCAUCUUCAACUAAAAAUAAUAAUUAUUCUACAAGUAUUCAUAAUAUAAUUUUUUUUAUAAUUUUUUUAUUGUUUGAAAAAAAAUCAUAAUAAAGUUUAUACAUUUCUCAAAAUUUGUUACUACUAAAUAACCUCAAUCAUAUUUAAUUCUUAAGAUGGUAUUAGAACAAUUUGAUUAAUUACUUGCAUGAAAUGAAGGAAUCUUGAAUUACUGUGCUAGAAAACACAAAUGCAUUGAGGAUAAAUGUAAGCUUCAGUUAGUUAUAAAAACUAAAAUCUCAUUCAAACUAUUGGAUUGUCACAAGCACUACGAAUGAAAUCUCAUAAUGUAUUUCAACGAAAUCUUCUUUAACAAACUCGAAAUCUAAAAAACACCAGAAUUUUUAAAUACACAUAUAACUCCUCAAAUCUUGGAAAUUUUCUUGGUCCUAGCACCUUCAAUUUUGUGGUAAUGGAUGAACCAAGAAUGAGCUAGAAAGCUUUGCAAAAGUGGAGUCACAAAAGACAUAAACAAUGCUAAAGUUGUUGGUGGUGAAUAAAUAGGUAUGCCUAAAACCUAAAUUGUCAUGUACUAGCAAUCUACUUGCUUUUGAUAAAGUGUUGUUUAUUAUUUUAUUUUCAUAUUUAUUGUUUAAUUAAGUGUUUUUCAUAAGGUCCUUGAUUAGAUAGUUGUUAAUGAGAAAUAAGUUUUGGAAAUUUAAUUUAAUUUCUUCUUGAUCGUAAGAUAAUCAAAAUAGAAACAUCAUUACUCUAAAUAAAUACCAUCAAUAAAUUUGGAGCUUUUGGUCAUGCCUCAAUGUAACUUGGAAUGCAUGCUUUUGAAAACUCAUGCGAAAUUAAUUCCAUAACAACUUCUCUAGUUAAUUACUAAGCAUAUUACAAUUGUUCAUCCUUAUGCUUUAAUUGUCAAUCUUAUUCAUCCAUUCAUCAAUAAGCCAAGGACUUUUUCCUUUAACCAUGUGCUUUUAGUCUUUCAUAUGCGAAAUUAGUUCCAUGAUGUGUAUUUUUUUUGGUAAAUUGUGUUUUUAGUCUCUCAUCAAUUAGUUUGACAUCAUUAACUAUUUCGAAAAGAUAAGAAUUUAAAAAUACAAUUUAACAAAAAAAAAACAUGCAUUUAUCCUAUUAGACUCAUUGACGAUGUUGCAAGUCAUGGACUACCAACAUUAGAAAUUAGUGAAGAGUAUUGAAAAAAAGUUAAGGGAUGACAAUGUCAUGGAUAUAAAGCUUAGAAGACACAUUCAUGAAUAAUGACCAAUUGGUGUUUAAGUUCCAAGACUUGGUGGAAAAUAAAAGUCAUACAUUCACUAGAUUUUGUGAUGUGUUAUUGCAUUAGAAUCAUUUUUUUCACAAGAUGCUUAUGGACUAUAUAGUCUUUUGAAAAUUUUGAAAGUACCUGUAAGAGAACCAAACAAUGAUAAGUUAGUACUUUUCUAAUCAAAUUGGACAUAUCACUCUUGUAAGCAUAUACUGAUAAAUUGAGAGGAGGUCCAAUUAUUUUUAAAUAGUCUUAAUGGUGGCAUAAGGUGAGUUGAUGAUGAUAGUAGACACUUAUAAACAUUAAUGUUUAAGUGAAUUAUAACUCAAGUAGAGUUUUAAUACUUAGUGACAAAUGUGUUCUUGUGGGAGGUGCUUACUUCGGAUAUUUACAUAGAAAAGUUUAUAAGGUUCGGUGGAAGGGAUCAGAACAACCAUUAGAAUCAUUAGUUGUGCCUAUGUUAAUUUCUGGUAACAAAAAAAAAAGGUGUCAUGUUGCAUCAAAAAGGUGUCUAUGUAGGAAGACAUAUUAGUUGUCUAUCAUGCAAGUCAAUAUGUUAACUUUUGUCCUAGGAAAAAUCUUGAUUGUUUGUAAUGUAAGGAUGAUGUGGUGGACCAAGGUGUGAAUGGUACAUUGGACUAGAUUAAUUCAAAGUCAUUGGUCCCUUAUUUGGUUUGUGGGUAAUAAAAAAUGAGUACAAUCUUAGCACAAAAAGUCAUUGAAUUAAUGGAUCCCAUCAACCAACUUCAAUAAACAAUUAUGCAAGGACCAAUUAAUGUAAGAUUUGUAUUUAAUAUCAUGUUGUCUACAAAAGAUAUAGAGAAUGAUAGACCUGAAUAUGUCAACUCAACAAAUCCGACUAUCUUAUUUUUAAAAAUAGUCUAAUUUAACAUUUAAUUGAUUAUUUAAAAAAUAGUCUAAUUUAUUUAAUGAAAAAGAUUAAGGUAUAUUAUAUGUUAGAAAUUUAACAAUUAACUAUUUUUUUCAAAAACAUUCUAAUUUAUUUAAUGAAAAAGCUCAAAGCAUAUUGUAAUCAAUAUAGUGCACCUCAUUGACAACUAACUUUUGUAUUGCCUCGGUCUAUUUUUACUCUUAUGCUAUUUUUAAAUUAGAAGUGAAAUAAAGAAGAAAGAAUUAAGAAACAAAGAAAGCAAAAAAAAAAAGAUCUAAAAUAGAAAUAGAGCAAAAAAAAAUAUCGAUUGGAUAGAAAUAAAUAAAGAGGAAAAAAGUAAAAAAAAUGUAUUUCCACUUUAUUUAAAUGAGUGAAAGUAUGAGUAAAAUAAAUUAUAUAAAAAUAUUUUAUGUGUGAAUUUAAAUAUAUGAGUAUAUGUGUAAUUAAUCCUUUUACUAUAUUAUAUAUUUUAACAUAAAAAUAUUAUAUAGAAAAAAUAAAUAUGUUAGCAUGUAAAUUAAAACCAUCAAAAUCAAGAAUAUAUACUCAAAUUAUUGUAAAAAUAUCAUAACUUCUUUAAUAAAACAACAUUGAACAAAAAAGUAAAUUUGUUAACUUUAGUUGAAUGAACUAAUAUGUCAAAAAACGGUGAAAAAAUAAGUUUCAACAUGCAUUAUUGUUAAUGAUCAAAACAACAAAUACAAAAAAUGUCUAGUUAUUGUAAUAUGUAUUUCUUUAGGUUUAAGUAUACUUAUUAAAUUAUAAAAUUAAACUAAUUGAGAAAAAUGAUCAUAAUAAUUAAUAUUAAAUUUCUAUAUAUAUAUAUAUAUAUGAUUUGAUGAAACACUAUGAAAUAUUUAUGUUUUAUUAUUUAGAUCAAUAAAAUGAUGAUAGAAUAUAAUGAAAACAAAUAAAAUCUACUACAUCUUAUUCUUCUAUUUAACUUUAUUUUCUUUCCUUUCAAAUUUGGAGGAAUGAGAUAUAAUAAGAAUUAUGUUAUAUUUUUAUCAUAAUAUAUAUAAACAAUGAAUUUUUUAUUUCAUUGUAUUCUGUUCCACUUAAUUUCAUUUUAUUUCAUCCAAUUUCUUUCCAUCAAAGUCGAAUGUAGGCUUAAAGUCAUUGUUGCUAUCAAUCGUCAAUAAAUAUUAUGUUAAUGCCUAACAUGGCCAUUAAGUGAUGUUCAAACAUGUCAAAGUAUUGGACAUGAGACUUAUUUUAAUGUUUUUACAUUAGUGUUCAUUUGAAUAACAUUGUAUGUACAAACACAUCAUCUUCUAUUAAUACAUCGUUCACUAUUUAAUUACAACUAGUUUGACCUUAUUUUGUUCUCUACAUUUCCAUACUAUGGUUCAACCAUCUUCCACACACGAAUGGAGUCAUAUGCUUGGUGUUGAUAGGAACCAAACCUUUAUUUAUUCCUUUAUAGCGUUGGAAAUUGAAAACAUAAAGGGUCAUAUUAAAAUUUAUCCUAACAUAGACCAUCUUAUUAGUGUUUCAUAAGUAUUUUAUCAUUAUAAAACAUUAAGUAUCUAGCAACUUAUAACAUUUGUAAUAAAAUCAACCCGAGUAUCUUACACAUCGCCUGCACCUACAAACAAUAGUCUUAACAGUGCAUUCAUUCGAAAACCUUCCAUGAAAGAUGUUGAGGUCAAAUUUUAUCUAUUGGGUCUUAAGACAAUACCUCCCCCACUACCCUUCCUUACCCCUAUCCCCUUUAUUGGUUUAAGCCUCCCAAAAGUUUCCAAUUUAUAUUAAUUCCACUCUAGUUCAAGGAAACAUAUCAUAUAGAUAGAAGCGAUACCGCCUAAGUUGAGUUAUGAGCUUUGACAUAAUGGUUUUUGAAUCCAGACACGCACAUAUAAAGGAGAUGCAAGAUUACGUGUACGUAACAAUAUUGAGUAUCACAUUGGCACGAUGAGAAACCUCUUGUUUGAAACAGAGACUCUACUUUUAAUUAAGGGUUCUCCUAUACAUCAUUUACCAUUUUAUUUCCUAGAAACAUUUCAUAUUUAGAUCUUUCAUUCACAUUUCAACAAUCACAUACUUAUUACUAUUAAAACAAAUUCACUAUACUAAUCUUGUGAUAUCUCCUUCAACUCUUUUUUAACACCAUGGUUGCUGACUUGCUGCACUCGCAACUUUGUUUCAAAACAAGAACCUGAAAGAGUAUUGGAAGAGUCACAGCACAACAUUGGUUCUUGCAUUGUGUAUCAUCAUUUCCACGGCAUGGCUCUGCUUCCUCAAACUCACCAACAACACUCAAAAGAGGCUUCCAUCAGGCCCAUCGGGCCUCCCUAUCUUCGGGAACCUUCUAUCUCUUGACCAAGACCUUCUUCACACUUACUUUGUCGGCCUGGCCCAGAUUCAUAGCCCAAUUCUGAAGCUCCGACUCGGGAGCAAGCUAACGUCACCGGCUAUGGCUCUCGAGGUGCUCAAAGAGAUCGACACCAUUUUCGCUAGCCACAACGUCACAACCGCCGAAAGGGCCGCGAUCUACAACGGCUUCGACAUAGCGUGGACCCCGUACUGGCCGAGUGGCGGAUGCUGCGGAAGGUGUGCGUGCUCAAGAUGCUGAGCAACCCCACGCUAGAUUCCGUGUACGAUCUGCGCCGCAACGAGAUGCGCAAAAUGGUGGCAUUUUUGAAUGGUUGAGUAGGGAGUCCGGUGAACGUGGGGGAGCAGGUGUUUCUCAUUUUUUUAUUAGUUUUUGUUAACAUCUAACCGUCACUUCUUCUUUUUUUCUAAUCAAGUAAUCAAUCUUAUAUCUUAGGUGUUUUUUGACGGUGAUAAAUGUGAUAACGAAUAAGAUGUGGGGAGGGCCAGUGGAAGGGGCGGAGAGGGAGAGCAUGUGGGGCGGAGUUCAGGGAGCUAGUGACGGAGAUGACGCAGCUUUUGGGAAGCCGAACGUGUCAGAUUUUUAGUUUGUCAUGUUAUCUUAUGAACAAUUCUUUAUUCAAAUUUUAGCCUGUCAUGUUAUGAACAAUUUUUGUUUGUCCCUAUUAGUGAUAAUAAUAAAUGAUUUUGUAUUAAAAUAUAAUAAAUAUUUAAUUUUUUAGUUAAACUUAUUUUUUCUUAAUAUAUUCAUAUGAUAUUUAUAUUACUCUUUCACUUAUUCAAAUAAAUAAAAGGAAAUUUGUUAAUUUCUUUCUUUCCUAUCUUUAUCUACUAAUUAAAAUAAGUUGAUAGUGAAAAAUAAAUUAUAUUAAUAUUACAUGAAAAUUAAACUCUUUGAAUAUGUCAAUAUUUUUAUUUUUUAUUUGAAAAAUACAAGAAAAACAUUUUUUUCAUAUAUAUAAAAAAUUUCCUAUAUUGUCCUAAAUGGGAAUUAUCAAACAAUUGAUGUGGGAUGUUGCAUCUUAAUGAAUGAUCUUAAGUUAGAGUUUUGACUUUUGAAUAUGCAAUAAAAUAUUUAAAAUGAAGAUUUUGCAAGACGUAAUGAUCUCAAAUAAAAGAAAAUAAAAAAAAGUAAGAGGAAAUAUGUUUUACAUUUAUUAUUUUUUUAAUUGUUAGAUAUAAUUUGAUCAGUACUCUAAUAAUAAAUAUUGUUUGGUUGUACAUGUAUUAUUCUUAACAAAUAAUCUUAUUCUUUAAAAAAACAAAUAAUCUUAUUAGAAGAACAUUGAGACACUAAAUGUUAGCCCUUUUUUCAAUAGGAUCUGAAUUAUAGUUUAUUACUUUGUGAGAAACUAAUUUUUUUUAUAAUAGAUCCAAUAUUUAUUAGAAAAUAAUAAUAAAUAAUUUUAUGCUAAAAUAUAAUAAAUAUUUAAUUUUUAGUUACAUUUAAUUAUUGUUAUAAUUUAUUUAAAAGGAAAUUUCGCAAUUUAUUCCAUUCUUAUUUUUAUCUUUCAAUAUAAUAUACUCCUAUAUAAUUGUAUUUUAUACUUUUGAGUUUUGACUCUUUUUUAUUUAAUUUUAUUUCAAACACGAAUAUCUGACCUAGGUAAAAAAAAUCCCUGCCACGUGCGUAAUUUGGAAGCAUCCGAAUGGAAACAGUAUAAAUAAAACACACUAGACAUCUCUAGCACUGGCUCCGAUCAGAGUUGGUUGGUGGAAAGAAAGAAGGAAGGAAGCAAAAACCUCAAGCGCGCCCGCUAGCGCCUCCUCGACCGCGCCGGUGUCUUCGUCGUCAACGCCGACCUCAACGACGUCGCCCUCCUCCGCAAGCUCUUAGACGUCGUCCCUUUCACCCACGUCAUGCACCUCACCACACAGCCUACAGCUUAUAGAUGAGUUAGUACUGUAGGCAGUUGAGCUGCAGCUUUCAGUUUGAUUUGCCAAAUGCCCUCAUCGGAUAGUAAUACCAUCGGGGCUACAAUCUGUAGUAGCUCAAAAUUCUUGCCUUCAAAAGGAUUUUUAUUAACUCUUUCUUAAGUACUAUUUUUAAAACUGUUUUGUGAGGUCAAAGUAAGUAGAACUUCAUUUGUCAGCUAGAGAUUGAUUGGUGACAGGUUAUCUUGCUGCCACUCUUGAAUCGUUGCCAGACAGUGAUUGAAUCCAGAAGCUUCGUACCGGGUGAAAUUGGAUUGUUAAGACUUCAUUCCUGUCGUUUUUAGGCGGCACACUGUUGAUUCUCCAAAGGUUAAACGAAAGCUUCUUUUCCUACACACAUAUAACGAGGCUGGGGUUUCUGGUUGCUUGUUGAUCUCAUCAUGUGUUUAGUUGGGAGAGUCCAACUGCCCACAUGGCUUAUUCUGAGUUAGUUGAUGAUUUCUAACUAGCAAAUCUGAACCAUUUUUAUGUGAGGGGCAAAAGGGAAAGAGCUUAAGUAAGAAUUGCAGACCAUACCAAUGACUGACUGAUACUGUUCCUUAUAGCACACCAUGACUUAUGAAUCUUGAAAAUCAAUUCAUUUAAGAAAUGCGUCAAAAUUUGUAGAUCAGGCUUUAUUCAUUUGUUAGCUGGUUCACUCAUCGACACUACUCCAUGAUGGAAGGCCAUCUUCCUGUUGUUAAUUUCUGUUUUAACAAGUUCACUUGUUCUCAUAGUGACACCCAAGUAUGCAAACUCUCUUCAAUGUCCUCCUGUUUAUCCUGAUACAAUUUUUUUGGACUAAUUUUGAUUUUUUAUAACGCCAGCCUUUCUCUAUGAUGCUGUGUUUUUUAGUAACGGGUGGUUGGUUGAGUGAGAUGUUGGAUUCUCUUUUAAGUAAGGUUUAGCGUUAGAUAUUGUAUAUGGAACAGAAAAGAAAAAGAAAAAAAAGAACUGAUUAGGAGAAUUAGUCUUGUCAUAAAAUGUUGAUUUCUGGAAGAAAAAAAACAUUAAAUGAUAAUGACAAGAAAUCUCAAAAUUAAAUCUCAAAAACAAUAAAUGUAGAUUUUUGAAAGGAAAAAAAAAACAUUAAAUGUGGAUUUAAGGUCAACUUCAUAUUUUAUCUUUUAAAAAGUUUAAUUUGAUCAUUUAUAUUUAUUUUUGAUUCAGUUAAGUUUAUUUUGGUCAUUUAUUUAUUUAUUUGUUCAAUUUAGUCUUUCGAUAUAUUUAAGAUUAAUUAAUCAUUUAAGAAUGAACAUUUUUUGUUAGAAAUAAAGUGGAGAGAAAGGGAAAAAAUUAAACAAAAAUAGUUUAUUUUUAAAUUAUUAACGACAUUAAUCUUAAAUAUUUUAAAUAAACUGGAGGACAAAACUAAAAGUAAAAAAAAAAUGAUCAAACUGAACCACAAAAAUAAGAUAAAGGAAGUUUUUAAAAAAAAUAAAGGAUUGAAUUGAACAAACAAAAAAAGAUAAAGGAACAAAUUGAAUUUCUUAAAGGAUAAAGGACCAAAUAAGUCAUUUAGCCUUGAUUUAAAUAUAUUUUUUAAAUUUUAUUAAUAGAAAUAUAAGAAAAAAUUAUAGUAUACUAAAAUUAUUCUCUGAAAAAUAAUAUAUAGUCCAAGACCACUCUUCCUAUAUAAUUCAACAAUAUGACAAUCUCCACCAUUGUAUUUCUCAAAUAACUAUAUCGAAUGUUCUUGUGCUUAGAUACAAAAGGGAGCCAAGAUGAAGCAUCUAGUUCAAAGUCGCUCAACUCCUCUGCUGAAAUUCAUGAUAAGGGGAAAAUUGUUGAUGAAGGUAUUCAUCAUGCUGAUGAGUGUGAAAGGAAAAAUGGUAGGAUGGAUGAAGUUUUUAAAUGAAAAUAAAUAAAUGUCAUUAUAAUGUGUUGUGUUUGAUGGCUUUGUAAAUUAUAUAACUUUUAUCUCUAGUUGUUCAAGGGAAGACACAAUUUUGUGAGGGCUAAUCUGGUCUGAAGUCUUUCCUAGAUGAAAGUCUCAACCAUGGAAAUGAUUAUAUAGGUGCCACUGAAUAAAUUCUUGACAUUGACUAACAAAAUAUUUGCACCAUAUGCCUUGACACAAAGAAAUAGUGGACUAUAAUGGGACCCUGUGGUCAAAGAUUUUGCACAUAAUGUGUAGAAAACUUUGUUGUUCAACAAGUAGUAUGAGAAGGCAACAUAGAUGUUGGGUGUCUAAAACUAGAUUGUUAGUUGGAUAUAUAGCCAUAGAACUUCCAAAUAAUUCUCCCAUUGAGUUUUUUUAAAAAAGAAGACAAGCUGUAAAAUAUGCCAACUUGAUCGUAGGACUUCCCCUUUAGAAGAAAUAGAACCAAAAGUGCAAAAUUUGGUUAUGAAAAAAAAAUGGCAAUGGUGCCCAAGGUGCGAAGCCCCUUGUUCAAAGAGCUUCUAGUUGCAACCAUAUCAAAUGCAGGUACUUUUCAUGUCUUUUGAAUUCCUUUCAUCAAUCUCAUAUUUCUAUAGGUUGUUAGGUUAUUGUUGGAUUGAUAUACAAUUACUCUAUCACUAUUUGUGUAUUGUCAUUGCAUGUGUGGUUGUAGAUUUUGCUUUACCUGUGGGGGUAAUUGGAGAGUCAAACAUUGAUGUUUAGAGCAACAAGGAAGGAGAUCACGUUAGAUUACCAUGUUGUUUCGGGUUUUAUGUAUUGUGUUGAUUGAUAAAUGUGGCAUACCAACUGUUUGAAAAAUAUAUAUAGUCAAAGACCACUCUUCCCAUAUAGUUUAAUAAUAUUAGAAUCUCCACCAUUGUAUUCCUUCAAUAACUAUAUUGUGUGUUCUAGUGCUUAGAUACAAAAGGAAACGAAGAAAAAGCAUCUAGUUCAAACUCGCCUAACUCCUCUGUUGCAAUUCACGAUAAGGGGAAAACGAUUGAUGAAGGUAUUCAUCAUGAUGAAUAGUAUGAAAAGGAGAAUUCUAGGAUGGAUGAAUUUUUUUAAUGAAAAUAAAUAAAUGUUGCUAUAGUGUGGUGUGUCAUGUUUCUUAGUAAAUUAUAUAACUUUUAUCUCCAGUUGCUCAAGGGAAGACAUCAAUCUAUGAGGACCAAUCUGGUCUAAAGUCUUGGCUUGGUGAAAGUCACAACCAUGGAAAUGAUGAUAUGGGUGUUGUUGAAGAAGAUUUUGACAUUGAGGGACAAAAUAUUUGCACCAUAUGCCUUGACACAAGGAAUAGUGGACUAUGAUGGAAUCUUGUAGCCAUAGGUUGCACACAAUGUGUAGAAAAUUAUGUUGUUUUGCAAGUAGUAUGAGAAGGCAAAAUAAAUGUUGGGUGCCUAGAACCAAUAUCAAUCCAAUCCAACCUAAUCUAACUUUAAUUGAAUUUGAUUAGGUUGAUUAUCUAGUUAAACCAUUAAAAAGUUGUCAAAUCUUUAAGUCUUGAAAAAAAUUAAAGAAAUGUUCAAAUUCAAAAAUAGUAAGGAUAUUUUUUUAUAGAAUAGUAAUAAUAUUUUUAAAAAAUAAUAUUCAUAAAACAUUAUACUAUUCAUAUGAUAUAAUAGAAAAAAAAACAUAAAUAUAAACUCACGGUAUUAUUCAUAAAAAUAUAUUACCUUAAAAUAAACAAAAAAUAAGAUAACUACAAAACAAUGUAUCAUCUUAAGAUAAACAUAUAUUACCUUGAAAAUGAGAUGUGCUUAGUUAGGGGCUUCUAUUCAUAAUUUAAUUUUAUGCAAGUUGGAUUAGGUUUUAGUCGAAUCCAAAACUCUAAAUUUGUCAUCAAUCCAAUUUUAAUUGGAUUUAUUAAACUAAAAUUAAACUAAUUCAAUCGAAUGACACAAUCCAACUCACAAAAAUCUAAUUGAAUUGGGCUUGUUCGUGAAUUGGGUCUGAUAUGCUUACACCUAUAUUCUAAACAAUUCUCCCAUGGAACUUCUUAAGAAGAUGACAAGCUAUAAAAUAUGUCAACUUGAUUCGUAGGACUUCCCCUUUAGAAAAAGAACCAGAGAUGCAAAAUUUGGUUACGAAAAAAAAAAAACUGGCAAAGAUGCCCAAGGAGCAAAGCCCUUAUUUUAAGAGCUUCUGGUUGCAACCAUAUCAAAUGUAAGUAUUUUUUUUUACAUCUUUUGAACUCCUUCCAUCAAUCUCAUAUUUCUAUAGGUUGUUGCUAUUGAACCGAUAUGUACUUUCUCUAUCAUUGUUCGUGUGUUGUCAUUAUAGGUGUGAUUGUAGAUUCUAAUUUACCUGUUGGGAUAAUUGGAGAGUCGAACACUGAUGUUUAGAGCAACAAGGAAGGAGAUCACAUUGGAUGAUCAUGAUGCUUCAAGUUCUCUGUAUUGUGUUGAUUGAUAAAUGUGUCAUACCAAUUGUUUGAAAAAUAUAUAUAUAAUCCAAGAUCAUUCUUCCUCUAUAGUUCAAUAAUAUGACAAUCUUCACCAUUGUAUUCCUCAAAUAACUAUAUUGUGUGUUCUAGUGCUUAGAUACAAAAAGGAGCAAAGAUGAAGCAUCUAAUUCAAAGUUGCCCAACUCCAUUGUUGAAAAUCAUGAUAAGGGAAAAAUGGUUGAUGAAGGUAUUCAUCAUGUUGGUUAGUAUGAAAAGGAGAGUGGUAGGAUGGAUGAAUUUUUUAGUGAAAAUAAAUAAAUGUUACUAUAAUGUGUUAUGUCUUAUUGUUUAGUAAAUUAUAUAACUUUUAUCUCCAAGGAAGAUACCAAUCUAGGAGGGUCAAUCUGGUCUGAAGUCUAUGCUUGAUAAAGGUCCCAGUUGUGGAAAUGAUGAUCUGGUGGUGUUGGUAAAGAAAUUUUUGACAUUAAGGCACAAAUUUUUUGUAUCAUAUACCUUGACAAAGAAUAACGAGUGUAAUGACCUAAGUUGAAUUAAAUUUUAUUUAUUUUUCAAUCUAAUUCAAUUAAACUUAAUUAAAUUUAAAUUAGAUUUAUUUUUUUUAUUUUGUCAAUCCAAUCCAACUUUAAUUAGAACAGUUAAUGGGUUGGACCAUUAAAAAGUUAUCACCUUUUAAGACUCAGAAAAAAAAUUAAAGAAAUCCUUGAAUCAAAAUUUAGUAAGAAUAUUUUAAAAAUCAAUAUUCAAAAAUGAUUAUAAUAUUCAUACAAUAAAAAUAAAAAAUACUAUAUAUACCAUUUAUAAAAAAUGUAUUAACUUAAAAUAAUGAAAAAAAUAUAAAGUAAAAAUAAUGUAUUAUCUUAAAAAUGAGAUGUUCUUAGUUAAAGAUUUUAGAUAGGAUUAUGUGAUGAAUAUAUAGCAAAAAUUGUUUAAAAUUAGGGUUUAAAGAAUAAUAAAGAUAGGAUAAAAAUAAUAUUUUCAAUAAAAUUUAAAGAACACUAAUGAUAGGAUGAAAAUAAGACUAACAAACAUAGGUAUAAGAUAAGCAUUUAUCAUUUUUUUAUUUCUCAUCAACCACCUUAAUUCUUAAGUAAUAUUUUGUUAAAAAAUAAAUACCUAUUCCUUUGGAAACCAGUUGAACCCAUAAGCAGCAAAGAAUACGAUCCUUCAAAUCUUCUCAGCAUAUAUAUUACUUGAAAAUAAAACCAAAAACCAUAGUCAUCUCUUUAAAGAACAACCUCCAACGGCUAAAAGAAAAAGAACACCACAAUGAUAAAUUGACUUAACUAGCUAAAUUAUAGGUUCUUAAAAAAAUUAAGACCACAUAACUUAUCCAGCCUUCAAAUACACAUCAAAAUGAUAUGGCAAAUUGCUAGCUCAACGGCGACUGCAAGGUAGCAAAACCCAUGAAAGUUGAUACAUUCUCUAAGCAACCAGAGUGCUAGCAGUUGUUGAUUCGCUGCAAAAUUCACAAGUCAUUAAUAGCACGAAAGGGACAGUGCACAUGGAUAAAAAAAAAAAGUGACAAGGUUGGCAUUCAAAUUACAAAUGCACAAAGACUUCAGCAAAACAUCAUACACAUGUGCACUUAGAACAAAAAAUACAUAACUACCAGUGAAAAUCAAUAUAAUUUAAUUUAGAAGAUCAUCAUAUGUAACAUAUCCAAAUAAUACCACGUAUGCAUUACCUAUUGAAUAACAACACCUCUAGGAAAGUCUAUAUCAAAUAAUAUCAAGUAUGCAUCACCUAUCGACCAACACUUCUAGGAAAGUAUGUCUAUCUACAAGACAAUCUUAUAUAUUUUGACCAUUUUACAACACAUCCAGCAGGUAAAAAAUAGAUCUAAAACAAAUACUUACUAAUGUGGUCCAUCUAAAACAAAUACUUACUAAUGUGGUCCAUCUCAAAUAAAUACUUAAAACAUGCUUCCGAAACAGAAUCAAAGUAUACAGAAUACAGAAUUUAAAUAACUUAAUAAUCCUAGGGAAAAAUUUAUUAAUAAUACUGUGUUUGGAUAGGCAGGGGAAAAAUGAACCAAACCACUUCCCUUCAUUUCCACUCCAUUUGCCAUAGGCCACAGCUCAAGCAUAGAAAUACAACAUAAUAAUCAGCUAUUCAACUAAAAAUCCAUUGAUAAAAUAAUAACAAGAAAGUCAUAGUAGGGUGAGGGGUGGGAAGGUACUUACUACUUCCAGACUGGUGGGAGCUUCUUAGUCUUCUUGUAAUAGCGAGCAAGUCGGUGGAUUCUGCUCUCAACAAGAAU
rnacentral:lncRNA from 1 species